GUGUUUGGCUCAGUAGUGCACAUACGAAAAUUGAAUUGAGAGCGAGAUUAGCAGGGCCCCUGUGCAUGGAUGACACGCAAAUCCAUAAAACUUUCCAUAUUUUA
ensembl:snRNA Rnu6-982 RNA, U6 small nuclear 982